rnacentral:tRNA from 1 species
GGGGAUGUAGCUCAGUGGCACAGCACCUGCCUGGCGAGCAUGAGGCCCUGAGUUCAAUUCCUGGUACCCGCC